AAAAAUGUAGGGGCUUGUUGCCUAUGUGAACAAGUCUCUCGUGAAUGCCAGGGGAACUAAUUGCAUUGUUAUUGGGUGAGUCUUUAAAGGCAGUGCCAAUGACUAAAGGUUCAGUGAAUGAUGCUACAUGG
rfam:Populus trichocarpa scaffold_1_contig_386, whole genome shotgun sequence.